AGGGCCGGACCAACAGGCCCUCCACCCAGCACAGCGCGCUUUAUGUUUUGAUCUGCGAUGUUCAAGACUCCACGAGGUCCAUGGGGCAGGACAGAGUUCCAUGGAACAGACCAUUUGGUGGUAUUUCUUUCUACAAAGAUCCAUUCGUGAAGCCAAGAAACACAACAAAAUGGGACUUCCCAUGCAGAUAUUCACUGAGGACAUUGCAGGCUGUGACACUCCUCUGUAUGUAACAGCAACAAACUUUGAUGUGGUAAAUGACAUAAUCAGCAAGUUACUACCAAUGAUAAGAAAGCAUAACAUUGAAGAUUACCAACUGUGGUUCUGUCCUGGCCCUGGGAAAGCUCCAAGAGUACUCCAAGGGCAUGAGUAUCCACAUGACAUUAGAAUGAUAAAUAUUCAAAAGAACUUCAGUUCACGGGACUUAAGAAAUUUUACAGCUUUCUGUUCCCUACAUGGGGUAAUCAUGAAAUACCUAAAUGCUGAUGUACAUGGGAAAUUCAUCUUGAAGCCCAGAAACUCAGCAAGAAGCCAGCAGCAAAAAAAUAUGAAGGAAAAAACUUUUAAGAAACAAAGAACUUCUAUGACGUCGCAGUUGGACAGGGGCUCUGUGCCCCACCAGGACCAAGUAUGCACCACCCCACCAGUUAAAAAGGGAAGAAAACUGUUUGGAAGAGAACUCAGUUCCAUUUGUCAGGAUGGCAUCCUGCCCGCAGCAAUUCUGGACAUGCUGUACCUACUAAAAAAGAAAGGGCCCACAACCACGGGUGUCUUUUUAGAACCUCCGAGUAUAACUUUGUGGCAAACAGUAAAGGACAAAUUGGAUUCGGAAGAGGAGGACUUCCUCCAAAACAUCGAGGGAAGUCUAAUGACUUCAAAACUAUAUGAUGAGUGGAUUCGUGUACCCGAAAAGGUCAAUGAUGAAGAGAAAUUAGCCGCAGUGCAGAGUCUUUUAGAUAAAAUGCCACCUGAAAAUGCGGCUCUUCUGAGGCAACUUUUUUGUAUAUUAUAUGAAAUUAAAAGUAACUGUUCUGUUAAUGAAAUGUCUUCUUACCACCUAUCUGUUGGGUUAGCCCCAUGUCUCUUAUUCGUGCCCAGCUUCUGCAAUAAUGGAGUGACAAAUGAUAUUGGCAAAAAGAUUUCUCUAGUAGAAUUUAUGAUCGAAAAUUCUACAAAAGUUUUUGGAGAAGACCUGGCUGCAGUGGGGCUUGGAACAUCACUAUAUCAUCCUCCUGGAGGAAAGUCCUCAUGUUCCCAGAAUAAUGCAACAAAUAUUGGAAACAUUAAGGAAACCGAACAUGGACUUAGCAGCUGCCCCAUUGGGAGAACAUGCACUCCUGGCUAUAAUACACUGCCGAAAAGUCCAGCUGCUUCUCUUCCCUAUGAAGGCCUUAUAGAUUCACAAAAACACGAAGGCAUUGUAUAUACUAACCCAACUGUAACAUCUAUUAAUCCACCACAAGCAAAACAGAAAUGUUUGUUUGGCAAAUCUCUUUCGGGUCUUUUAGAAGACAAAACGUUGCCUACUCCAAAACUUGAUAUGUUAUCCAUAAUUGCAGAGAAAGGACAAGAAUCAGAUCACAUAUUCAAAAUUCUACCUAAAGAAUCACACUGGUCCCUGAGGUGUAGGGUUGACAGUGACAACACAUUGACUGGAACGAAGAAUACGUGCUUAUAACAGCAUCGUUCUUAAAG